GACGAACGCUGGCGGCGUGCCUAAUACAUGCAAGUCGAGCGCAGGAAACUGACGGAACUCUUCGGAGGGAAGGCAGUGGAAUGAGCGGCGGACGGGUGAGUAACACGUAAGGAACCUGCCUCAAGGAUUGGGAUAACUCCGAGAAAUCGGAGCUAAUACCGGAUAGUUCAACGGACCGCAUGGUCCGCUGAUGAAGGGCGCUCCGGCGUCACCUUGAGAUGGCCUUGCGGUGCAUUAGCUAGUUGGUGGGGUAACGGCCCACCAAGGCGACGAUGCAUAGCCGACCUGAGAGGGUGAUCGGCCACACUGGGACUGAGACACGGCCCAGACUCCUACGGGAGGCAGCAGUAGGGAAUCUUCCACAAUGGACGGAAGUCUGAUGGAGCAACGCCGCGUGAGUGAUGAAGGUUUUCGGAUCGUAAAACUCUGUUGUAAGGGAAGAACACGUACGAGAGGGAAUGCUCGUACCUUGACGGUACCUUACGAGAAAGCCACGGCUAACUACGUGCCAGCCGCCGCGGUAA
rnacentral:rRNA from 1 species